AGAGUUUGAUCCUGGCUCAGGAUGAACGCUGGCGGCGUGCCUAAUACAUGCAAGUCGAGCGAACAGACGAGGAGCUUGCUCCUUUGACGUUAGCGGCGGACGGGUGAGUAACACGUAGGUAACCUACCUAUAAGACUGGGAUAACUUCGGGAAACCGGAGCUAAUACCGGAUAAUAUUUCGAACCGCAUGGUUCGAUAGUGAAAGAUGGCUUUGCUAUCACUUAUAGAUGGACCUGCGCCGUAUUAGCUAGUUGGUAAGGUAACGGCUUACCAAGGCAACGAUACGUAGCCGACCUGAGAGGGUGAUCGGCCACACUGGAACUGAG
rnacentral:rRNA from 1 species